rnacentral:sRNA from 1 species
UAUAAUUCGGCCUAACAGGGUUCGUUUCAAAACCGAAAAUGCUACAUCUGCAGUACAGAAAUCUAAGCAAAAGACAUAAUUUUAUCUAUUUCUGUAAUCUUUUUUUGGUACCUGAAUUUUAGGCUGAGAAGGUAGAGAUGGGAAAAUUUUCCAGAUUCAAGGUUCAUAGAAAAGACUGGCAUCAUUUUGAGAACGAGGAAUUAAAUCUGCAUCUUUAGACUUUGUGCUCUGCUGAGACAUUUGUCAUGGUCUGACUCAAAAUCUAUACUUAUUAUCAUCUUCUCGCAGUGAAUUUCUUCACGCAUUAUUUUUGUUUCUGAAUUUGUAUUUUGGCUUCAACAAUUAUGGUAUAUUUUAACAGACACCUGUUGAAGCAGUGAACAUCAUAAACCAACUCAGG